GGUUCAGUGGUGUAGUUGGUUAUCACGUCUGUCUCACACCGUGUUCACAGGAGGUCUCCGGUUCGAGCCCGGACUGAACCA
rnacentral:tRNA from 1 species